AUUAUUUUGGCAGAAAAGUGCAUUAAAUUUAGAAUUUAAUUAUAUAGUUAUUUGUAUAACUAUAGAUAAUA
rnacentral:tRNA from 1 species